AACAAAAACAUGUCCUUUUGUUUGUAUUUAUUUAAGGUUUAACCUGCCCACUGAUUUUUAUAUUUUAAAUGGCCGCAGUAAUUUGACUGUGCAAAGGUAGCAUAAUCAUUAGUUUUUUAAUUGAAAGCUUGUAUGAAAGGUUGGACGAAGUAUUAUCUGUCUUUAUUUAAUUUAUUAUAGAAUUUAAUUUUUAAGUUAAAAAGCUUAAAUAUUAAUAAAAGACGAGAAGACCCUAUAAAUCUUUAUAUUAUUUUUAAUUAUUUUAAUUAGGAUUUUUUAAUUUAUAAUUUUUUUUUAAUAUUUUAUUGGGGUAAUAGAGUGAUUAAAUUAAUUCAUUUUCUUUUAUUUUUUCAUUAAUUUAUGUAUUUUUGAUCCAAUAAUUUUUGAUUAUAAGAUUAAGUUACUUUAGGGAUAACAGCGUAAUUUUUUUUAAGAGUUCAUAUCGAUAAAAAAGUUUGCGACCUCGAUGUUG
rnacentral:rRNA from 1 species